AACCGAGCUAUGCUACCAUCUUAAGUUUUCAAAACACACCAACAAGAUCCUAUGCUACAACAAACAUUAUUCAACAGAAACAACAUGUAGUAAAAUAUCUCUUGCUUAUUGAAUAUUAACUCAAAUACCCAGAAAUUUAGCUAAUUGUCGCUUAAUUUGGGCCAAUGUGGUUAGCUGAAAGUGCUGCAUUUCAUAAAGAUCACAACAGUCCAGUCAGUCUUUCAGUUGCAGGAGAGGUUGGCCUUAAACUCAAAUUCUACAUUUAUUUUAAUCUACUCAACAGCUCAAUUUUCGCGAUAUGAUUCUUAUUCGAACUCAUGCUUAUGUCAUUUCCCUGCUUUUAAGUCUUAUGUUAAGCCCUAUGUGUGUGUUUAUAAAUAUUUCCUCUUGGAGAGAGACAAUAAUUAAACAUUAGAGUGUAAUUUAUUUAAUCUACAAAUUGCUUAAAGAUGAAUAAAAAGGCUUCAUAUAAAUUACAGGCUGAUUCAAAACCAUUGUCUGAGAAAUAAAGAACCAAGUAUAUUAUCUUGUAUUCUGUUGCAAGGAAUUCAAUUGGGGGGAAGGGGUGUAGAACUAAAUAUAAAUAUUAGUACCAAUGUGGAGACUUAUGCAUGAUACUGAUUCCUUCCUCAAUUCUACUUUACAUAUAUGAACUAGAUUUCAAUCUCAUCAUUCUAACAUGCUCAAAUCUCAUCGUAGAAAGAAGUUAGCCAGACGGAGUUUUUUCUUUUUAAUGCUAACCUCGCUCUAAACUUUUUACUUGCACUUGUCAUUUUUAUUUCUCUUCCAUCUAAAUUGUAUUUGCAUUAUAUUGUAUUUUAUUAUUCAGUUGCAUCAUCCUGAAAUUAACCUUAGCGCGUAUUUUAUAAUUAACAUCUUUUUGUUCUUUUGAUAG
rnacentral:lncRNA from 1 species